AGUGAACGCUGGCGGUAGGCCUAACACAUGCAAGUCGAACGGCAGCACAGUAAGAGCUUGCUCUUACGGGUGGCGAGUGGCGGACGGGUGAGGAAUACAUCGGAAUCUACUUUUUCGUGGGGGAUAACGUAGGGAAACUUACGCUAAUACCGCAUACGACCUACGGGUGAAAGCAUGGGAUCUUCGGACCUUGCGCGAUUGAAUGAGCCGAUGUGGGAUUAGCUAGUUGGCGGGGUAAAGGCCCACCAAGUCGACGAUCCGUAGCUGGUCUGAGAGGAUGGUCAGCCACACUGGAACUGAGACACGGUCCAGACGCCUACGAGAGGCAGCAGUGGGGAAUAUUGGACAAUGGGCGCAAGCCUGAUCCAGCCAUACCGCGUGGGUGAAGAAGGCCUUCGGGUUGUAAAGCCCUUUUGUUGGGAAAGAAAAGCAGCAGGUUAAUACCCCGCUGUUCUGACGGUACCCAAAGAAUAAGCACCGGCUAACUUCGUG
rnacentral:rRNA from 1 species